rnacentral:pre_miRNA from 1 species
AGAGUACUCCCUCCGUCCCAAAAUUCUUUUCUUUGAUUUGUCUAGAUACGAAUGUAUCAAGUCACAUUUUAGUAUUAGAUACAUCCGUAUCUAGACAAAUCUAAGACAAGAAAUUUGGGACAGAGGGAGUAGUUG